CCUGCCGCGCGCGGCGGGCGGGGCGGGGGCACGGGGGGAGAGUUUGAUCCUGGCUCAGGAUGAACGCUGGCGGCGUGCUUAACACAUGCAAGUCGAACGAACCUUCGGGUUAGUGGCGGACGGGUGAGUAACGCGUGGGAAUCUGCCCUCAGGAGGGGGAUAACGGCUGGAAACGGCCGCUAAUACCCCAUAUGCCGAGAGGUGAAAUGAAUUUCGCCUGAGGAUGAGCCCGCGUCUGAUUAGCUAGUUGGUGAGGUAAGAGCUCACCAAGGCAUCGAUCAGUAGCUGGUCUGAGAGGAUGAUCAGCCACACUGGGACUGAGACACGGCCCAGACUCCUACGGGAGGCAGCAGUGGGGAAUUUUCCGCAAUGGGCGAAAGCCUGACGGAGCAACGCCGCGUGAGGGAUGAAGGCCUCUGGGCUGUAAACCUCUUUUCUCAAGGAAGAAGAUCUGACGGU
rnacentral:rRNA from 1 species